rnacentral:lncRNA from 1 species
GCAACCUUGAUUUUUUUCUCCAGCAGACAUCAGCUACCAAGCUCCCCUUUACACAUUGUUCGGACAGAAGUAUUUCCGUAGACAUUUGUUUAUUAACUUUUAUGUAAUGAUGGGGUAGGGUGGGUAACUGCGGUCCACUUGAAAAAAAAUUACAGGGACUCCAAUGUGGUGUGGUCUAUGCAGAACAAUUACCGGAAAUCUAUGGUAGUUUGCAAAAUAAUAGUCUUUUUUUAUAAUGUGAUAUGUAAAAUGUUGGUAAAUAAUGAAAGCAUGCUUCUGAAUUAAUAGACAUAGAAAUAAAGAGAAACCAUAUGAUAACCAAUAGCAAUCUCCCAGAGACAAACUA